GUAGGAGGCGCGGAUUGCAAAUUACAGCAGCGAGGGCUCCCCCGAAACUCAGCCUCCAUCCCCGACGCCCUGCGCGAAGCAGGUGACCAGUCCGCACGUUGGCCCCGCUCCUUCCGGCGUUUCACCCGCAAGCUGCAGAGCUGUGCACGCCCCUCAGCGAGCACUGUCGGGCCCUAGGCACGGGGAGGCGGGAGCCGACAGGGGCAUGUCUCAUGAUCUCUUUGUAAGACAGGAAGAGUCAGAUGCUACAAUGUUCGCUUGACCUUCAAUCUCCAAAUUUUGGCAUCACUUCAAGAGGAGCAGAGAUGGAGACACUGGACUAGACACUGAAAUUCUAGGAUUAGAAAGUGAUUUACAUCAACAUAUGGAAAACCAUUUAAAUGAAUGGGAAUAACUAGUAAAGAAUUCUAAUAAACAAACUCAGGGGCAAAUAUAUGUAAUAAAUAAAUUCUUUUUUUAUUAUUAUUAUGUAAGAAUGCUUGCAGUGAUGCUAUAAUUAUGGUUGAGCUGACAUUUCUUUUUUAACUUCCUAUUUUUAAUACUAUUCACAGAAACAUUCAUUUAAGGCAGUAAUUUUUCAUGCUUAGUUCCAUGUCAAAUAUGAAUAUUUUUGAUAGUUAAAUAAAGUCCAAAUUUGAGUUGUUUGAACAUGAAUAAAAUGUUUUCCACUUUAAAACAUUGCUUUGGCCUUUUUGGCUCUCAUUCUGGGUCUAAUCCAAAUCUCAUUGAAGUCAAGAGAGAGACUUCUAUUGACCAUAGUGGGAGUAUGAUUGGACCCAGAGACCAAAUCAAUUUAGUUAUCCCUGCACACAGCAGGUCUGAAUUUUGCCCACUGACUUUUAGUGGGAUUGCUUAUCUAAGUGAGGGAUGGAGGAUUGGGCCCUUUUACAUUAAAUAUAAAGAGAAUAUUUUAUUACUUA